rnacentral:rRNA from 1 species
AAUGGGCGAAAGCCUGGCGGAGCAACGCCGCGUGAGGGAUGAAGGCCUCUGGGCUGUAAACCUCUUUUAUCAAGGAAGAAGAUCUGACGGUACUUGAUGAAUAAGCCACGGCUAAUUCCGUGCCAGCAGCCGCGGUAAUACGGGAGUGGCAAGCGUUAUCCGGAAUUAUUGGGCGUAAAGCGUCCGCAGGCGGCCUUUCAAGUCUGCUGUUAAAAAGUGGAGCUUAACUCCAUCAUGGCAGUGGAAACUGUUGGGCUUGAGUGUGGUAGGGGCAGAGGGAAUUCCCGGUGUAGCGGUGAAAUGCGUAGAUAUCGGGAAGAACACCAGUGGCGAAGGCGCUCUGCUGGGCCAUCACUGACGCUCAUGGACGAAAGCCAGGGGAGCGAAAGGGAUU